rfam:Danio rerio chromosome 14, GRCz11 reference primary assembly.
UUUAUCUUCGCUUGUAAGUCGCUUUGGAUAAAAGCGUCUGCUAAAUGAUUCAAU